rnacentral:lncRNA from 1 species
CCUGCCCCAUCUCGCUAUAAUAUCCCCAUCAUAAAGCAAAACCCGGUCACCCUCGUCCUUUAUAUAUCGAACCGCACCAAUAUCCUGACUGCGCUUGUUACGUGCUUUUGCAAGUUUAAAAAUUUCAUUCACUCCCUCCUUAGUACCUAGACGCCUAUACAUGUCUUGAUACGCCUUAGUUUUCGCUUCCGCAACUGCCUGUUUAGCCAUUCUUUUUGCAAGUUUAAAUAACUCCCGCUUUAUAUGCCGAUCUGGCCCUUCUGGACACGACAUGAAUUCCAAAAAGCAUCCUUUCUUAAAUUGCACUUUGGCUUGUACAUCAUCAUUCCACCACCAAGAUUCUCUCUGCUCCUUUAUAUUCCCUGAAGCCACUCCCAACGUCCUCCGUGCCACAC